rnacentral:rRNA from 1 species
GACGUAGGGCGCGAGCGUUGUCCGGAUUUAUUGGGCGUAAAGAGCUCGUAGGCGGUUUGUCGCGUCUGCUGUGAAAACUCGGGGCUUAACCCCGGGCCUGCAGUGGGUACGGGCAGACUAGAGGUAGGUAGGGGAGAAUGGAAUUCCCGGUGUAGCGGUGAAAUGCGCAGAUAUCGGGAGGAACACCGGUGGCGAAGGCGGUUCUCUGGGCCUUACCUGACGCUGAGGCGCGAAGGCUAGGGGAGCGAACGGG